AACGAACGCUGGCGGCAUGCCUAACACAUGCAAGUCGAACGAGACCUUCGGGUCUAGUGGCGCACGGGUGCGUAACGCGUGGGAAUCUGCCCUUAGGUUCGGAAUAACUCAGGGAAACUUGAGCUAAUACCGGAUAAUGACGUAAGUCCAAAGAUUUAUCGCCUAGGGAUGAGCCCGCGUAGGAUUAGCUAGUUGGUGAGGUAAAGGCUCACCAAGGCGACGAUCCUUAGCUGGUCGAGAGGAUGAUCAGCCACACUGGGACUGAGACACGGCCCAGACUCCUACGGGAGGCAGCAGUGGGGAAUAUUGGACAAUGGGCGAAAGCCUGAUCCAGCAAUGCCGCGUGAGUGAUGAAGGCCUUAGGGUUGUAAAGCUCUUUUACCCGGGAAGAUAAUGACUGUACCGGGAGAAUAAGCCCCGGCUAACUCCGUGCCAGCAGCCGCCGUAAG
rnacentral:rRNA from 1 species